rnacentral:rRNA from 1 species
CACGGGGGGAGCAAGCGUUGUUCGGAAUCACUGGGCGUAAAGAGCGUGUAGGCGGCCAGACAGGUCCGUUGUGAAAACUAGAGGCUUAACCUCUAGACGUCGAUGGAAACCGUCUGGCUAGAGUCCGGAAGAGGAGAAUGGAAUUCCUGGUGUAGCGGUGAAAUGCGCAGAUAUCAGGAAGAACACCCGUGGCUAAGGCGGUUCUCUAGUACGGUACUGACGCUGAGACGCGAAAGCGUGGGGAGCGAACAGG